ensembl:lncRNA
GCAGUAGCAGGGUGACUUAAGUCUAUGCUAAUUUCCUAAUUUUGGCUAUCAGUCAAACUCAGCAAUUCCUUCCAUAUCUCUUAAGCUCCCCUAGAAAAAGAAGAAAAAUGCAUACAGAGGAAGGUCUGGGGCUGGGAUCUGAGCCAAAGGAAUAAUGCCACCAUCCCACAAACUCUACCAAGGAAAGAUGCGGUCAACCUUAGCAACCCUCUCUUUCUUUAAUUUUCUAAAAGUUAUCAUAUGCUCCAACUCCUGUAAGAAAUUUCUCUCGUAUGUUUAUUAUUUCCUUUUGACAUGCACAAAUUCACAUGCCUGUUUAGUCGAUAAAUAUUGACUGCACAUCUACUAUAUGCCACAACAUGUGUCUCUAGAAACUACGAAUAGGUGCUAUAUACAGAUUAGGUAUGCAUAGCAGUAAUGUGGAAGCUUGCUUACAAUCUUUGGUUGUUACUUUUUGUUUGGGUAGUCAGUCUUCUGUCUACUCGUCUGUAUGUUUCCCCAGCAAAAGAGACUUUGUUUUUUAUUGUUCACCAAUCUCUUAAUCUGGAGAAGGAGAUGGCAGCCCAUUCCAGUGUUUUUGCCUGGAGAAUUCUAGGGAUGGGGGAGCCUGGUGGGCUGCCGUCUAUGGGGUCACACAGAGCUGGACACGACUGAAGUGACUUAGCAGUAGCAGCACAGAUUAGGUAUGUAUAGCAGUAAUGUGGAAGCUUGCUUACAACCUUUGGUUGUGACUUUUUCUUUGGGUAGUCUUCUGUCUACUCGUCUCUAUGUUUCCCCAGCAACAGAGACUUUGUUUUUUAUUGUUCACCAAUCUCUUAAUCUGAGAAGGAGAUGGCAACCCAUUCCAGUGUUCUCUCCUGGAGAAUCCCAGGGACGGGGGAGCCUGGUGGGCUGCCAUCUAUGGGGUUGCACAGAGUCAGACACGACUGAAGUGACUUAGCAGUAGCAGCAAUCUCUUAAUCACAUCUAGCAUGAUGCAAGCAUAGCGUACAUACUCAAUAACUGCUUAUAGAAUUAUCUGUUGGAGAAAUAGAAUUUAAAAAAAAAUCUCCAAAUCCAGAAAUCCUUCUCUCCACAUAGGUAGUAGAGAAAGAAAACAAUUUUAUUACUGAACUGCAUUAAACCAGAAAGUGGUGUGCAUCACAUAAUCUGCUAAGAAAUUGCAAAAACAGAAAGAUAUCUCACCAUUUUAUAUAACCAAGCAGAUACAACCUGUUAAAAAAAUGUUAUUAAGAUAAAAGAGAAUUACUGUUCAAGUAAGAGGAUUUGACAGCACUGUUAAAAGGAUUAGUCCUCAAGUAAGAGGAUUUGACAGUCACUGUUAAAAGAUAAACUGAGGCAUAUUAACCAUUUGUCACUACUAAAAGAUAAACUGAAGCAUACUAAACAUUUUGAGUUUAUUUAAGCAAAAAUCAACUUGAAUCUGCCAGCAUCCAUUCUAGAAGCAAGGAAGGAACAUCGAGAAGCUGUACAAAGUGAAAGACUUUUAUAGUCAGAAGGGAGAAGGAACAAGGAAAUUAUACUGGGCAAAAAAAUAGGGUUAUUUUAAAGUUAUUUUCCUUUAGGGGAUAGUAGGGGUCUAUCAGGCAGAUGACCUAACUAGCGUGAUCAGGUAGUUCCUGAUUAACUGGUUUUAUGGUUCCACUUACGGGACAACUAAACUAUAAUUAACUCACCAUUUGGUGACUUGAGGCUUAGCAUAACUGACUCCAUUUUUGGCCUGUUGUCUUGCUCUUAGCAACACGCAGAGUUCAUCUUAGAUUCACUGGGUAAUUGGGGUGACCAUCUGUAUUAGCUGGCUUUAUACACAGGAAAAAUAAAUUUCUCAUAUCUUUUUCACAGGAGGUAGUUUUGCAACUUAGAGUCUUGCCAGUCACCAAAGUGAGUUUCCUCUCCUUUCAGAGAUACUGAUGUUUAUGUUCCAAAGAAAUGGCUCCCAGGUCACUGAGAAAGACAUUCUAGGUCAUAAAGCUGACCAAAAGACCUAUGUAGUUUUCAAAACGCUGAAUAUACAAUUUAAAGAGAGGAGGAAGUACUUACAAAGUUUCCUACAGUAAAUACUCCAAGAGAAAGAGAAACUUCUGCCCUUACUUUCAAUAGAGAGAAUUUAAUUCUUUUUAGUUUUUAUUUAUCCUUGGAAAUUAGAUUUUAAAAGCUUUGAGGAAAUAAGAACGUUUUCCUUAUUACAAGGAAUUUUCUUCUCUCAUAGUGACACUUCGAAAAUUAUAAGAUUCACCUUGACCACUUCACAGAACUUUGGAAUGGGCAAGAAGGCCCUAGAAGACACCAUUAUAGGGGAAAGCCAGCAUCUUAUAAGGAACUUUGAGACUGACAAAGGUUCCUCCUAAAAACUUAUAAGAAUAUACUCAGGAAUAAAGAUGAAUUAUUUUCCUUUAUAAGGAUGACUUUCCUCCAUCACCAUCAUAAACUUGACAAAAAUGAUCCAAGAAGCUUAACUGAUGCUUUUUUGGUCAGACAGCAGGAGGUAAUGGCAUUUUCUUCAGGGGUCACUUUAGCAUAUUAUUUAUUAUUUGAUUUAGUUAACAGCAUCUUCAGGAAAAAUACUUCUUUCAGAGAAGAAAGAUAACUGGACUCAAGUUAAUAAUAAUAGAUUUGUACACUACAAAGAACAUUACUUAUUACAUUUUGCAUUCUCACAUAUUUUCCACUUCUUUUCAUAUCACUCUCUGAAGAAAACAAGAUACAUAUGGAAG